CCACUUCUGUAAAUUUAUUCAAGGACACUUACUGUACAUUAUCAGUGUCAUGGCACUUCCUAUUUUUUAUUUUUUAUUAUACUUUAAGUUCUAGGGUACAUGUGCACAACAUGCAGGUUUGUUACAUAUGUAUACAUGUGCGUGUCAUGGCACUUUCUAUAUCUCCUUAGCACACAGCUUCAUUUAGAGUUUAGUAUCUUGGAGUUAUUGAUUGACAGUUUUUUUUUUAACUUUCUUUCUUUAGCUGUGCAUCCCUACAUUUUAGGAGUUACAAAACAAAGAAAAACAGUUAACACCACUCCACCAAAUGAAUAGAGGAAAUUUAGUAAAGAUGUCAACCUCUCUGUAUUGGAAGAAGCUCCUUGUUGCUUGUCUUGACCCUGCCUCCCAUCGCUGAGGAGUCUAGUUCACCUCUAAGCCAAGUAGGAUGAGAGUAUAUUUGGUGUCUGAGCUCAUUUUUGAAUCUACUUCAUUUGUGUUACCACACAUUAUUCAUUCCCCCUGUUCAACUAUCUACUAAGACAUUUAAACUGGCCAAGAAACAUCUAUCUAGCAAAAUUUUGGCUGAGAGUGUUCCUCCAAAUAGAAUAAUCUAUUUCUAAAUUAAACCAGAUUAGCAAAAAUGUGUACACCUGUAAUAUAGUUCCUUUGUUCACUGUAAAAUCAUUGUUAUACUCUGGUGUUAUGACUUUCGUUUAUACUGAAAGAAUGUACAAGUAUGAAUACAAUGAAAUCUAUAAAUAUGUGAAGAGAGAUUAGAGCUCCCACUCAUACUUUUCCCAUUUCUGAGGUUCUUCCAGUAAGUUCCCGCGUGGGCUUCUCCAGAUUAAUUGGUCUGUUUUUAUCUGCUGCACAGAGUAAACUGUUUAACUGCUUUUAUUUUUGUUUUCUGCUAGAAAGCUUAGAGCCAGAUUUUCUUAGCCCUCAUCUUCAGAAAAUAUGUAGACUUCUAUGGCAGUAUUUCCCAACAGGUGCUCAGCAGAGCACUAGUUUCUCAAAUGUUGCAUUUAAAGAGUUUCAGAUCAAAUAAAUUUGAGAAAUGUCACAUUCUUGUUAAUUCACAAUGAGUGAAAUGUUACAUGAAAAAGGGUUCUGGAUCAAAUAAGUUUUGGGGAAAAAAACCUUAGUUUUGGAAAGUUUUUUUAUUGUUUCACAAUGUUUAUAGCAUAUUAAAGGUUUGAGAGAUUUGGUAAUAAAGAUAAUCUGUUUAAACUUGUUUCAACCAUUGCCCAUGUUCAAAUACUUUUGCUCAUGGUAUCCCUUUUUUAUGUAACACCUGCUAACAUCUGGCCUUAACAGCAUUCUGCAGAAUCCAGUUGAUAAAUCCCGCCUUAUGGUUUCCAUUCCUAGAUCCAUUUUACAUCUCUAACCCUUUUAAAUCUCUUAUGUCCCACUUGUGCUGUGUUCAGUGUAUAUCUGUUUUGUGUGUGUGUGUGUGUGUGUGUGUGUGUGUGUGUGUGUUUUGAGAUGGAGUCUUGCUCUGUCACCGAGGCUGGAGUGCAGUGGCGUGAUCUCGGCUCACUGCAACCUCUGCCUCCGAGGUUCAAGCAAUUCUCCUGCCUCAGCCUCCUGAGUAGCUGGGACUACAGGCGCGUGCCACCAUGCCUGGUUAAUUUUUUGUAUUUUUAGUAGAGAUGAGGCUUCACCAUGUUAGCCAGAAUGGUCUCGAUCUCCUGACCUCGUGAUCCUCCAGCCUCAGCCUCCCAAAGUGCUGGGAUUACAGGCAUGAGCCACCACGCUCAGCCUCAGUGUGUAUCUUUAGAUCAUCUGAAAUCCUUUCAGAACAAAGUGUGACAAAAAUACAUGAAUAACUAAUAAACAUGUUGAGCUGUAUGACUUUGUGUUGGGAUUCACUCAGGAUGGUGGCAGAAAUAUUAAAGGGAAAUAUUAGGGAAAGUUAUAGGGAAUAGUCACGAACCUUUUUGGAAGGCCGAAAGGUUACAUAGCUUCUAAUAGUUGAACAGGCUGAAGGCAGCCAGUUCUUACCUUACAGCAUUAGGUCAUAGGGUAAAUAGUAGGGACAAUAGAGGCUUCCCCAUUUAAGUCUGUUUACCUUACCUCCAUUAACUAACCUUUGAACCAGAUGGCCCUCUCCAAGGCGGUGUGGAGGUCUACCAGGAAUAUUGCCCCCUAAUGGUAUUUAUUUUAAACCGCAGUACCUGAGCUUUAAUCAUUCGUGGAACUACUCUGUUAACCACGUUAAUUAUCCACAAGUGUGUGGACUCAAAGCUUCUGUUGUUAAUUGUAUACUAAAUAAAUGCCUGAAGUGCGAGCUGCUCAGGGCCGGCCACAGUAACAAACCUCUCUUGGUGUGCAGGCAGUCGGGCACUCAGCAGGACUGGCAAAACAGAAUAUCUGUGUGUCAGUGUACGUUUUAUUCAUCUGUCCUUUAGGCCAGGGUCUGCAGGCAGAACCCCACAGCUAAUGACCUCUUGUGAGAAGCAAUACCUCAACCUUAGGCAAGUAACUUUCACAUUUGAGUUUCUUGUUAAAGAUGUUAGCCACAUUAAACAAACACAAAGAGAUAAAUGAUCCCAAGAUUGCUUUCCAGGUCUGCUGUUGGAAGAUUCUAUCUUUCCAUUCCCAUUACUAAAGAUAGCAAAGUUUAUUGGCACCAACCCCACACCCCACCACAUCCCUUUUUUUUUCUUUUUUUUUUUUUUUUAAGACAGGGUCUCUCUCUGUUGCCCGGGCUGGAGUGCAGGCUCCCACACUCAAAUGAGUCAGGCAGGAUGACAGAAGUAAGAUAACUGAAUUCAAAUUCAAAUUCCAGAUUCUUUCAACUAGGGGCUCUCAAAAGUGUGAUGCUCCAGCAUCACCUGGGAACUUGUUAGAAAUGCACCUUCCCAAGAUCCACCCCAAGACAUGUUAGAAACUCUGGGAUGGGGCUCAGCAAUCAGCAUUUUUACAAGCCCUUUUGGGUAAUUCUGAUGCACGCUUUAGACUGCCUAUCGAACUGUAGACAUCUGACGAACAAAUCCAAACCACAGUCUGACAAUGGGUCACCUCUGUUGAAAGUGAAACAGAACACAGCAGUACUGAUUUUUAAUGACUUUCCAGACCCUAGUUCUAGUUCCCCAUGAUUCCUGGUAACCCAAGUCCUGGAGCUGAUCUGGCAGUUUCAAAACAUUUCUUUUCCUUAAGCUGGUUUUGUGGGCUUUUGUUGCUUGAAUCCAAACAAAAAUAAAACUGUACCAGUAAAAUGAAGCAAACAAAAUUUGCCAAAAAGGAGCCCCAGUUCUGCCCCAGUUUUGCCAAAAAGGAGCUGUGAGGCCGUAGAUAAGUUCCUUCUCUCUAAGCUACAAUUCUAUCCCUUACAAAAUGAUGCAGUUGAACUGGAUAUCUCAGGGGCCUUCACCCUCUACUAUGCUGGCUUAGACACUGGCUCCUCUGGAUAACCUCUUGGCGCUACAGAUUCCUUAUGAAGGUUCUCCUAAGUUACUUUAGUUCUACCCAUUGACUCCAGGCAGUUAAAGUAACAAAAACAGAAAAUAAAAAGCACCCAAUUCUUUCUAAGCUCUUGGGAGCUGAAAAAAAUAAAAAUAGAAAGCACUCAAGUCUCCAUGUCUCUCUUUCCCUGUCAGUAAAAAGUGCAGUUUUAUUAGAGGGAUGCUUUAAAUAAUAAGGCUUAUCUGACACUCCAAUUCUUUUUCAUGUUAAAAUUAAACCUUAGCAUAUUAUAAUUAUACUCACUUCAAUUAAGGCUGCUAUCUAUAUUCCUAAAAUGCAUACAGUAAUAGGAUACAAUUAUGCUUGCCAAAAAAUUCUAUUUUUUGCAGUUUGUUUCUUCAGAAUAAUGUAACUCAUCCAAAUAAUCAACAUCAAAUAAAAUGGCAAAGUAUUUUAAAGAUUCUACACAAGGGAAAAACCCUAAAAUCGUAAAAUAAAUUGUAAGAAUAUCCUCUAUUGAGCCCAUAAACCCUGCAUUAUUUAAUUUCUUAGUUGACAAAGAAUAAAAACUAGUAUUGUUUUGGCCCUUAAAUUCCCACCCAAAUCGAUUGUUCUGUGAUGCUGAAACAAAAUAGUUACCAAAUGCUUUGAUAGACAACUCAUUACAAUGAGAACUGAAGGCUCCCAAAAUAAGACAAAGAUUUUCCUGUAUCUCCCAGAUGCCAGGGAAAGUAAAGGAAAUAUUUCAGCUUUCCAUCCCAAGAAUGAACUCUAUAUAUGCCCUUAAAAAAAAAAAAUGCCAUAAAAAUGAUCAAGCUCAAGGUACAGUUUUUUAAAAG
rnacentral:lncRNA from 1 species